rnacentral:rRNA from 1 species
GAUGAACGCUGGCGGUAUGCUUAAUACAUGCAAGUCGAACGGACUCUUCGGAGGUUGUGGCGGACGGGUGUAUAACGCGUCGGAAGCUGAACUUGUGGUCGGGCCAACCACUAGAAUCGGUGGCCAACACGGGAUGUGACCUGAUGUAAAAGAGCAUUUGACUGCACAUGAGCUCGCGUUUGAUUAGCUUGUUGGUGAGGUAAAUGGACACCAAGGCAGCGAUUAAUCGCUUGUCUGAGGGGAUGACCAGCCACACUUGGAAUGGGACGCCGCCCAGACUCCUACGGGGGGAAGCAGUGGAGAAUGUCCCGGCAUGGGCGAGAGCGUGACGGAGCAAUACCGCGUGAGGAAAGAAGGCUCUUGGGUUGUACACCUCUUUUCUUAGGGAAGAACAAAAUGACGGUACCUAAGGAAACAGCAUCGGCUAACUCCGUG